rnacentral:rRNA from 1 species
GACGAACGCUGGCGGCGUGCCUAAUACAUGCAAUUCGAGCGGACCGACGGGAGCUUGCUCCCUUAGGUCAGCGGCGGACGGGUGAGUAACACGUGGGUAACCUGCCUGUAAGACUGGGAUAACUCCGGGAAACCGGGGCUAAUACCGGAUGCUUGAUUGAACCGCAUGGUUCAAUCAUAAAAGGUGGCUUUUAGCUACCACUUACAGAUGGACCCGCGGCGCAUUAGCUAGUUGGUGAGGUAACGGCUCACCAAGGCGACGAUGCGUAGCCGACCUGAGAGGGUGAUCGGCCACACUGGGACUGAGACACGGCCCAGACUCCUACGGGAGGCAGCAGUAGGGAAUCUUCCGCAAUGGACGAAAGUCUGACGGAGCAACGCCGCGUGAGUGAUGAAGGUUUUCGGAUCGUAAAACUCUGUUGUUAGGGAAGAACAAGUACCGUUCGAAUAGGGCGGUACCUUGACGGUACCUAACCAGAAAGCCACGGCUAACUACGUGCCAGCAGCCGCGGUAAUACGUAGGUGGCAAGCGUUGUCCGGAAUUAUUGGGCGUAAAGCGCGCGCAGGCGGUUUCUUAAGUCUGAUGUGAAAGCCCCCGGCUCAACCGGGGAGGGUCAUUGGAAACUGGGGAACUUGAGUGCAGAAGAGGAGAGUGGAAUUCCACGUGUAGCGGUGAAAUGCGUAGAGAUGUGGAGGAACACCAGUGGCGAAGGCGACUCUCUGGUCUGUAACUGACGCUGAGGCGCGAAAGCGUGGGGAGCGAACAGGAUUAGAUACCCUGGUAGUCCACGCCGUAAACGAUGAGUGCUAAGUGUUAGAGGGUUUCCGCCCUUUAGUGCUGCAGCAAACGCAUUAAGCACUCCGCCUG